GACAGUCCUCCAUGGGCUGCAGCAAGACUAGACAGGUAACAGUGAACAACAAGAUGGGAGUCAUCCAACACUGUAUUGAACCAGCGCCGUGUGGGAAGCAAAGCCUGUGGUAAACAACCUCACGUCAAUACAAGCAACUCUUCAAAAGGAUCAUAUGAGAAUCAAAAUAAAGUGAAAACUGAGGAAAUCAUCUGAUUUUCGGUAGCUCAGCCAGCUCCUUUUGCAAAUACAUAUUUAAGGAUUAAAAUUUAUACCCUAAAAAAAUGCACAAAUAAAAUAAUGCAAAUUUGUAUGCCACAAAGAUAAUGUUUUCCUUUAUGUCAAUAGAAUACGAGUGCAGUGCAUUAGCAGUACACAUGCUAAGGAACACUUUUUUACUUUUUUAUAUAGCAGCGGCCACGUAAUUCUCUGUUUCCCUUCCUUCACUUUGCCAGCAAGGGACAUUCAAGUGCCAUGGGCAAAGCUGGACAGUCACCAUAUCCAUAUGCUCUAACUACCCUACACGCCCAGAUGACUUUCAGUGGAGAAUGACAGGCCACAGUCUACAUCAUCACCGGUCAGCUUCUUGCAUCUUCAUGCACUCACAUCCUCAGGCACUACUUUGCAUGCCAAGGCAGCACACGUGCAACAACCACCUCCAUGACUCUUGGACUAGAAGUCACAUAUGGGAUUUCACAGAUCCAUACAGUUCAGCACCAGGGACACUGGAAGGAUUCCAGUGAUGAGGAAACAUUUCAGCAACAUAUCCAAAUCAUGUCAGAUGCAUAAAAGAAUCAAGUCACACAUUAGGAUAUCCUGGAAGUAGACAGGAACUGGAAUGGCAGAGAACAGAAGUAAACAGCAUUCAGAGACCUGUGAUAACUCAGGACAGAUAUAAUGACACUUUUAUGUUAGAACACUAGGUUCUGAACAGGGAUAUGAUCACUUAUGAGUGAUUUUGUUGGCAUAAGACUGAUUUCUCCUUCAUUUGCACGGACUUAGAAUAUUCACCUUUUUAACAGAUGCUAAAAAAAUGCCGUUUAAAAGCUGCUUGACAGAACUAGUCAUUACAUGAAAAAGUACAAAAGUACAGUUAAUUUGCUUAACCUGGAUAAAGUACAUUACAUGAGAGCAUAGUCACUUUUGUAAUUUCAAUUUUCCUUAUGAUAACUGCCUCUCAGACACAUCUCGUUCACAGCCAUCAGACCAUAAAACUAGGCUAUUAAGUUAAAACUUGCACUUUAAAAAUCCACAAAACCUUGCGCUAGAAAUAUGAACCGUGACCACUUUAGUUAUUUAGGAGAUCUAGGCAUUUUCAACAUUAUUACAAGGGGCCAUUAGACAGGCUGAAUCCAUAGUCUUUAUUGAUUU